CGGACGGGUGAGUAACACGUGGAUAACCUACCUAUAAGACUGGGAUAACUUCGGGAAACCGGAGCUAAUACCGGAUAAUAUAUUGAACCGCAUGGUUCAAUAGUGAAAGACGGUUUUGCUGUCACUUAUAGAUGGAUCCGCGCCGCAUUAGCUAGUUGGCAAGGUAACGGCUUACCAAGGCAACGAUGCGUAGCCGACCUGAGAGGGUGAUCGGCCACACUGGAACUGAGACACGGUCCAGACUCCUACGGGAGGCAGCAGGC
rnacentral:rRNA from 1 species